UAUACAGUGCGUGAAACCGCUUAGAGGUAAACGGRUGGAGUUGAACUGCAAUCUCUGAGAAUUCAGCUGGGGAAUUUUGCUUGAGCUUGGUCAAUUGGGCAGGGCCUCGAGGUAUGCUUAUCUGCAUGUUCUGAUCUUCGGAUCGGGAUGCGCGUUGCUCUUAUCAAGGGCUGUGCGCCUUGGGUGUCCGGCUGGCUCAUUCGCCAGUGCACUUUCUUGGAGUGAUCACCACGACCGGCGCUGCUGCUGGGCUGUUAUAGUUAAACCGGGCAUUCUUCGUUCAUGUGGCGUUGGGUGUUCGACACGGCAGGUAACUGGGUUCUUGCUUCGGCUUGUUUCUUGGUGUAUGCUGGCUUUAACGGUUCCAUGUGGUGUGUCGGAGACGGCGGCUUGUGGUGUGUGCAUGCGUGUCUAUCUGUUGGGGCAUUCUGGUUUGGUAGCUGUGUGCUUGUUCAAGCAGGCCCAGUUAUGGCUGGAGUGUGUCAGUGGGUGGUUGCGUGUGUGACACUUUUCAGGGCCAAUAGUCUGUGGUGUUGUGGUAGACUAUCCACCUGACCCGUCUUGAAACACGGACCAAGGAGAGUAACAUGUGCGCGAGUCAUUGGGCGUAACGAAACCCACAGGCGCAGUGAAAGUAAAGGGCUGGCUUGUCCAGUCUAAGGUGAGAUCCUGUCGUUGUUCAUGCGUGGUACCACCAAGCUUGGAGCGGCAGGCGCAUCACCGGCCCGUCCCAUGACGUGGUCACAAUUCUCGGAUUGUGCGCCGUCGGGGCGGGGCAUGAGCGUACAUGUUGAGACCCGAAAGAUGGUGAACUAUGCUUGCGCAGGUUGAAGCCAGAGGAAACUCUGGUGGAGGACCGCAGCGAUUCUGACGUGCAAAUCGAUCGUCAAACGUGAGUAUAGGGGCGAAAGACUAAUCGAACCAUCUAGUAGCUGGUUCCCUCCGAAGUUUCCCUC
rnacentral:rRNA from 1 species